CCGAAUGCUGAGCUGAAGCCAAAGCCCGUCGCUGCUGACGUGCUUCUGAAUGCAAGAAACAUUUUGAUGCAGUCUCAGAACCUUGUUGCCAGAUGGAGGUGACUGUCGAGGGGAACUGGGUGUCAGGACCUGGGUUAGGACAUUCUCCUUCUCCUCCUGGGAAAGGACUGAAUCCAGGCCAAACAGAGCAGGAAACCUUCCAGUGAAACAGAAUUUCAAGCGUUUGAAACAAGUUUUAUGAGUUUUCCACGAUUCAUACCUGUAUUCUGGUAUUCUGUCCUCAGUAAUAAUAUUCUCGAUCGCACUGUAAAUUUCCUGCCAGGUGUCAGAACACAGGUACGAUUUUUGUUUUGAAUGAAACAAUAGAGUUAAUCAUUGAUGCUGGAAUGUCAGUUUAAGACUCAGCAAAUAUUAUUAAAGGAUUAUUAUCUAUUGAUCGUGACUUUGGUGUUUGACAGUUUGACUAUAGUACACAAGUGCAAUCUAUACAUUGAGUGAGAUUUGUGGAUGAUGUGAUAAGAUUCCAUAUCAAAUACAAGGAUUAUUAUCUAUUGACCGUGACAUUGGUGUUUGACCAGGUUGACUAUAGAAUACACAAGUGUAAUCUAUACAUUGAGUGAGAGUGUCUUUGUUGGCUGUAUAAGUUGAUAUAACAAGGUUUAUCCUAAAGGUUAUGGAUUCAUUCCUAUUUUUAGACACACUGACUUUAUAAUAGCUACUCAUCCAUCCUAUCCUUUUACAAGGGUCUUCCUUUCCAAGGA